ensembl:lncRNA
GGAGGGGGCGGGGUCUGGAGCGCUAAAGGGGAGGAGGAGGAGGCGGGGUCUGGAGCGCUAAAGGGGAGGAGGAGGCGGGAUCUGGAGGGCUAAAGCAGAAACCCUUCAGACUCCGCCCCCUGCAGCCAGGUAUCUGUAAUCAGGGCAGUGCUGUGUGAUGUCACGUAGUGCUUAAAUUUGAGGGGGGGGCACUAAAGGCGGCGCACGCACAGAUUUAGGGGUUUUUGAGCAGAAAAUUGACCUAAAGUUGCCAAAAAAAUGUCUGGGAGCAGUAGAUGAAGCUUUUCAAACACCGUAUACACAGGUUAGGGUAAAAAAAAAAAAAAAGUUUUAACCUUUACUUUCUUCAAAUUAUUCAAGAUUUUUGUGUUUAAAAUCAUUUCAGGACAAAAAUGUGGUGAAUAAACAGAGAGUGGAGUCGUAAACAGUGGAGGGUUUUUAGUCUUUGCUUCAUGGGGACAGGGCAGUACCAAAGAUUCACCUGUGUUAUUAUGUAAAAGCUGCACUCUGUAACCUUUUCGCCGUGUCUCCGUGGAGAUAUUAUUGCUCGCUUUGACCGGAAUGUUCCACAGCGUGUCAUUAAGCAUCCGAUCUGUGAGGAGGUAUUACGCAAAAAUCAUGUUCUAACGUUGUUUCUUCAUCAAAAAAACACGUCUGAAGAGGUUUUAGACGUGUUUGAGUAAUCUAGAGAUCUCUCCCCGGGCUGUAUUAGAACGCUCCUUAUGGUUCGUCGUACGAUUAUGUACGAGGCUCCGCCCACGAGCCUACGUCGCCCACGCUCCCACACGACAAUCCUCCAUAAAUCUACAAAAACAUGACACAAAACCGUGCACUACGACUUCACAAACCUGGUGCGAUGUGCAGUAGUUUCGUCAGUGGGAUGUAGCUCUGGAGGGGGAGCGACUUAGCGCAGAGAGCAAAGAGAGAGGGCAGACUCAGAACGUCAAAAACAAACUGAAACUUCUAAAACACGUUGACCUAAAUGUGUUACGUGUUACAGUUAAUACCCACAGAAGUAAAAUACACCGUCUUUAAUGCUACACGGUGGAACAUUCCAGAAAAACACCUCCAUGGAGACGAGCAGGAAAAGCUCCGCAGUGCAUCUUUAAAGCCACUUGAACUGGAAUAGACACGACUGUAUAACCUUCUCUUAGACGUGUGUUGUGUCCGUGUCGUUUGUUUCCGUUAGCUCCAGAAUUACCUCCAAAAAAUAGUUUUGAGAUAAAAAAAAUUGUACAUAAAUGUUUAAAGACGCGGAACUGACGGAAAAACCUGAAAAUGAUGUUUUUAUCUUUGUAACGAGGGUUUGAAAAAUUAAACUAAGUCAAAAGGCAAAUAAACAAUGUGUCUUUAUUUGGGCGGAACGAGCCGAGGAAAAAGAGCCGUGGAAAAAGAGCCGUGGAAAAAGAGCCGAGGAAAAAGAGCCGUGGAAAAAGAGCCGAGGAAAAAGAGCCGUGGAAAUAGAGCCGGGGGUAGGUUCACAAGUCUCAGGUGAGUCCGAGUGUUUGGAGUUUAAUCCAGCGCCUUUAAAACACCCAGAAACACUUGACACGAAGCCACAGCUGCCCUGGGACAGACUGACAGAGGCGAGGCUGCCAAUCUGCACCAUCGUCCCUCCACCCACAGUCACACUCCACAUCCAGACUAAGCAAUGUAGGUCAAGAGCCUUGCCUAAGGACACAACAACAGUUUCCACUAGAGCCACCGCUGCCCCCUGUGGCCCCUGGUGUUCACUGCAGUCUCCCA